GAUGAAGAACGCAGCGAAAUGCGAUACGUAAUGUGAAUUGCAAAUUCAGUGAAUCAUCGAGUCUUUGAACGCACAUUGCGCCCCCUGGUAUUCCGGGGGGCAUGCCUGUCCGAGCGUCAUUGCUGCCCUCAAGCACGGCUUGUGUGUUGGGCCCCGUCCUCCGAUCCCGGGGGACGGGCCCGAAAGGCAGCGGCGGCACCGCGUCCGGUCCUCGAGCGUAUGGGGCUUUGUCACCCGCUCUGUAGGCCCGGCCGGCGCUUGCCGAUCAACCCAAAUUUUUAUCAAGGUUGACCUCGGAUCAGGUAGGGAUACCCGCUGAACUUAAGCAUAUCAAUAAGCGGAGGA
rnacentral:misc_RNA from 1 species